CCGCCCGGCCGCCACCGGUUCGAGGCCGCCGCGCACCUGCCGGGGCCCGCGUGUGGCGGAGGAGUGCCGCAAGGCCUCCCGGGCCAGCUCCCUCCCGGGGGAAGGUGGCUGAGGCGGCGGGACCGGGAGGGCAGGGUGAGCCUCGCCUGGGCGCUGCCCGGUGUCCUGGUGCCCACCAGUGGACGUGGGCGUUAGCGGCCUGCCGUGCCUUGUGCUGAGUGGUGCUUGUGGAUCUUGAGUGGGGCGAGAAGGACUCGUUUUUAAAACACGGCUUAGAAAGCUGUGGGGAGCGGAGAAGGUGACCAGCACCUUUCCAAAUGGAACUGCUUUAUGUCAGACAAAAAAAAACAGCCAAGGUUUAAAACUGAUCUAAAAUGCAAUUAUCUUUUUUUUCCCAUUAACUCCAUCUGGAGCUCACUCUACAUUAUUGGAUGUGAGUUUUGAGGCAGCAUCACCCCUGACAAAUACACUGGAGAGAAUGUUAUACACUCGUAGGAGUGAAAGGACUGUGGACUCAGAUUGUGCCUUUGCUCGAGUUCAUUUUGGUUUAGGACUUUGGCUUUUAAAUAAAUCUGAUGGUUUCUACUUCAGUUUGCAUGCUGGAGCAGACUUGGAGCUUUGAUACCUUCAGAAGAAACUAAACUGGAAAAUCAGCGACUGCCAAGGAGUGUUAAGUGUAGGGCCAGGCUAGAUCUCCUUCAGCGUAAGUCCCUCUCAGUGCGGACUGCUGAGCAGCAUCAGCUGUUUUAUUCCCCAGACCCCACUAGACCACUCUACUCUUGACAGCGGUCGGAUGGAGACCCGGUCUCCAACUAUGUGUCUCCCACCCCCCCAACCUUGAGAAGGCAUUAGCUGACCUCUAGUGCUAAAUUUAUGCAAAGUGUGGAACAUAUCAGCUAACUGAGCAGGCUGAUAGGAGUCUUCAAUGCUCACAGACUGAUCACAUAAACCAAGUGUAAAUGUGUGAUGUUUCCAUACAGAUGAUACAAUGUAAUAGCCAAACACAGAAGAAAGGAUCAAGGAAAUGGGGUGACAGCAAAAAAUGCAACUUUCCCGUUCAUAAGAAAAAUGCAGGAUAACAUUCAACUAAACAACGGAAGAAUGUGGGAAGAUCGGCAGGCCUGCACUGAAAGGAGAGAUGAAUAUAAGGAAAAUUGAACCAACAGUCAGAUGGAGGAGUUUGAAGGGGUCCAAAGAGUGAUGUGGUUUUCAGACAUGAUCCAGCAAGUGCUGAGUAAAGAAGACCUCUUGAUCUACUGGCCUCAUGCCUGUAAAAAUGACAAGGUAUGUCUUUCUAAAGCUAGCCUUGCUCACUGCUGUGGCAUUCUGCUUAGUUAUAUUUAGCUUGGUAUCUGUCAGGGCCAAGUAAAGCGCACAACUGGGCCUUAAUUGCCCUGACACCCUCACCUGGGACUUUAGCAGGUGCAGUUCUGUAGGUUUACCUGUGCCAAGUCCUGUCUUCUGUUGUCUUGGCUUAUCAGUUGGCCUUCCUGGAUGGACUGAUGUAAUGUAUAGCCUUGUCUCCAACCCUUUCUCCUGCAUGGACCUUGUUUCUGGCUCUGUCUUCUGCUGCUCCUGGCUGGACAUUCUGGCUGGACCAUGGACCUGGACCAAGGCAAGACUAUCUCGCCAUGUCUUGGACUCUCAAGAAGAACUGUCACCAACCCAGCCCUGACCAAAUCCUAAGGAACUGCACCCUUGUCGGUGAAGACACUGCCCCACUUGUCCUGUGGUCCACCUUCAUGGAGUGGCACUGCUAUUGUCCAUGACAUGGUCCAGCAGGGCCUCCAGAUUCCUUUUUCGGUCAAUUCUUGGUCUAUACUGCUGUGGUGGUUAUUGCGUCUCAGGUGUGGCUUGCCCUCAUUUCCAGUGGAAGGACUGAGUGGAGUAAUCUGCAGUAAAAAUGAACAUGUUCAAAGGUGAUGAGAACGACAUGCUAAAGAGGAAGAUGGAAGCAAAUGAACAGCUGGCAGAUAUGGAUUGUAUGUCCUCAGUGUGUGCCAUCCACAUGUUUAAUGGUUGAAGAUAGACCUGGAAUAAGCUAUCCUUUCCGAAGACAAGACAUUUUAGUGUUAAAUUCUGGCUAUAGAAAUAUACAACUGCACUUGUGAGCUUCUACUAACCUUGCGCAUAGUUAAUCAUUUUGUGUUUCUUAAAUUUUUAUCCUCAGCGACUUGCUUAGAGUUGUGCUGCAUCAUACUCUGUGUGCAAAUAUGUUUCUUGUUAUUAGUGCAGCAUGUAGACUCCCUCAAAAGUGUCCCCUCUCAUGCUCUUUUCACCUCCAUCAAAAAUGAAAAAUUUGAGAAAGGAUAUGGAACUGGAUGAAAGGUGCCAUGUGGAGAUUUUCCACAGGUUUGUUUAAUAUUAUUAUAUAUUCCCUGACCAUGCUGUCAUGGCUAUGCGGCAUGCUUACCAGAGGUAUUCAAUAAGCUGCCUAUAUUCAUGCACAGGUGCUUCUCUUGAGCUGAUCAAAUUAAUUUAGACCCUUUGAAGCUGUAUGCAUAGUUUACAUUUUUGUCUCCAGUGUUUAUUAUAUUGUAUUGUCAUUAUUGAAUUUUCAUUUGAUAUCACGUUAUCCAUGAAUAUAUUCAUAUUAAAUCUCUCUUAAGUACCAUGGCCUCUUACUGUUUUUUAAAAAAUAAUUUACUUGUACAAUCUGCAGAUUUUUUAUCUAAUAUUUCCCCUUCCAGAUGGUAAUAUCUUAAACAAUAGUGGAAUUAAUACACAACCUUGAAGCACAUGUUCGUAAUUUUUAUCAGUUACAGCAUAAAUCUCUUCUAAGUUUUUUUUAUUUUUAACCAGUUCCUUUUUAUUAUAUUGCUUGAAUUCUCAUUUCAGGGCCACUUAAUUUCUUCAAUAGUCUCCUGAAAGACUAAAUAAAUAUAAGAUACCUCUUUUCCAUCACAUUGUUAUGGAAAAUUUAUUUUGUGAUUACAUUUGUGCUGACCACAAAAGCAAAUGCGUAAUAAUUUGGUUAGCAAAUCAGAAAUUGAAAUAUUAUGCUAUGAUAUAAGGCAUCCUAUCUCUUUGAUAAGCAGCCUUGAGAAUUAACUUAUCAAAGAAUACUUAGAGUAAACAGCUGAAAUUUGGUGCAAACACAGCUUCCCAAAUUAGG